GGGAAUUUAGCUGAGUGGCAUAAGCGCCUGCCUUGCAAGCAGGCAGUUGUGAGUUCAUUCCCU
rnacentral:tRNA from 1 species